rnacentral:lncRNA from 1 species
AUGAACGUGAUCGAACCUUUUCCAACAAUCUCGACGUUUGAUCCAUCACCGAAUUUGACUUUGCCUUUGAUGCUCUCAUCUAGGUUUGAGAAGAACUCUCUAUUGCCUGUCAUAUGGUUACUUGCACCAUUGUCAAGGUACCAUAUACUCGUAUUUUCAUUGCAUCCAUCAAACCUCUUAGGAAACACUCUCUCUUCGUUGAGGAAUACUACUU